AUUUGACGGUGAGAGCAGCUAGCACAUAAUCUCUUGAAACACUCUCGAUACUCAUACAAAGACUCUACAGUCUGUUGGCGAAUGCCAUAGAUUUCCUUCCUAAUACU